CAUCAAAAACAUGACUCUGAUCGGCGUCCUCAUCUGGACUCUCCUCUGCUUCACUCAGGGGUCUGUUGGACAAGAUGUGGUCUUGACUCAACCAGCAGCCAAAACAGUGCAGCUGGGUCAAACUGUUUCUAUUGACUGUAAAGCCAAUAGAAAAGUUGUCCAUUACUCUGGUUCACAGUACUACCUGGCCUGGUACCAUCAGAAAACUGGAGAAGCUCACAAACUUCUGAUCUACCAAACAUCAGAUCGAUUUUCUGGAAUUUCCUCCAGACUGAGUGGAAGUGGAGCAGGAAAUGGAGUUGACUUCACUCUGACCAUCAGUGGAGUCCGGACUGAAGAUGCAGCAGUUUACUACUGUCAGAGUGUUCAUGUUAUCAACAGUCAGUGGUUGUACACGUUCGGUGGAGGAACCAGACUGGAACUUGGAAGUGACGUCCGUCCCACCCUGACGGUGCUGCCCCCCUCCAGUGAGGAGCUGCGGCAGGGGAAGGCCACGCUCAUGUGUCUGGCCAACAAGGGCUUCCCCUCAGACUGGACUCUGUCCUGGAAGGUGGACGGCAGCAGCAGCAGCAGCAGCAGCAGCUGGGAGGAGAGCAGGAGCCCCGGGGUGCUGCAGAGGGACGGCCACUACAGCUGGAGCAGCACCCUGAGGCUCCCUGCAGACCAGUGGGGGAAGGUGGGCUCUGUGACCUGCGAGGCCGCCCAGGGCUCCCAGACUCCUCUCUCAGAGACGCUGAGGAGAGACCAGUGUUCCCAGUCCUGACCUGCCUCACUGAGACUCUGCUACUGGUUUUACUCUGCUACUGCUCUCACUCUGCACUCUGUCUCUGUCUGUUAUUUGACAAAUAGAAAUAUUCACUAGAUUGUUGCAACGUUUCAAUAUUAUUUCAGUGUUUGCAGAAAAUAAAGACGUGUUCUUCAAA